CUUCAGCGAGCCGAGCCACAGCGGGCGCUCGCGGUCCUGGCCGUAGGUGGCGAGCAGCGCCUGCGCCUC
rnacentral:antisense_RNA from 1 species